GACGAACGCUGGCGGCGUGCUUAACACAUGCAAGUCGAGCGGAAAGGCCCUUCGGGGUACUCGAGCGGCGAACGGGUGAGUAACACGUGAGUAACCUGCCCCAGUCUUUGGGAUAACCCUCGGAAACGGGGGCUAAUACCGGAUACGACACAGCUUCGCAUGGGGUCUGUGUGGAAAGUUUUUCGGUUUGGGAUGGGCUCGCGGCCUAUCAGCUUGUUGGUGGGGUGAUGGCCUACCAAGGCGACGACGGGUAGCCGGCCUGAGAGGGCGACCGGCCACACUGGGACUGAGACACGGCCCAGACUCCUACGGGAGGCAGCAGUGGGGAAUAUUGCACAAUGGGCGGAAGCCUGAUGCAGCGACGCCGCGUGAGGGAUGACGGCCUUCGGGUUGUAAACCUCUUUCAGCAGGGACGAAGCGUAAGUGACGGUACCUGCAGAAGAAGCGCCGGCCAACUACGUG
rnacentral:rRNA from 1 species